rnacentral:lncRNA from 1 species
CGGAUGAUUUAUCUGCGAACAACGGGGAGAAAUUACAAGUUUUGUUAGUCUAGUUCCUAAUUUCUCGACUUUCCGCUCCAACUUUGCGGGUUCGGAGGGCGACGGUGGUAUUUUUGUCUGCCCUGGUUUGCCCUUGUUCCUAUUCCCCCCUCUCUCCCAACUCUCUCGUCUUUACCGUCGUUUUAAUCUUUUCGCUUUCGAGAUUUAUUCCCGUGAUUUACAGUUUGGAUUCGCACCAGGCGCUGUCAACCGUUGAGACAAAGGCGCCGCUCUCCGAUGAGACAGUUCUAUUCUCUCUAGUUCCACAAAGUAUCUCGCCUGCUUUCACGCCCGCCCAAACGAACGGAGAGCACAGCCGCGCUCUCUUCACCUCUGCACUCCAGCCGUUCUCCGCUACCCACCUUCAGUACAUCCGAGAUUGUCUUCUGUUCUCUUAUAUUACCGAUCCUCCCUCGCAAUACCAAUUCCUCGCCUUUCCUCACUCCCCAGUUCCAGCUUUGUCUUCUUUACGAACUGGUGAACAGGCGUCAAACAAUUAUACCGACUGUGAAGAACUCAAAGGCAAACCAAAGUGUUUUUCUAAUCUCAGUCGACAACCACCGUCACAGGAUUUAAUCAAUCAUCUUUAUUUCAGACCUCGGUAUUUUGUGAGAAACUUCGUAGGCACGAAGUUGAUAUAUAGAUGACUAAAAAAUCUUCACCACCUGUUUUCUUGUCACGUGAAAAACAAGUUGAGCUCUGAUCAAUUUAAAAUGACCGCUGUUGUCUCACUUGAAAUUUUAUUUCAACUCUAAGACUGUUUCCAGCGCCUACGGAUUAUCCAGCGCUACUUUGGCCGGGAGGAAAUGAUGGCAGAAGCGGUUUGGUUAUGGUUCCACUUGCAGCGAUAUCCUAAAAGCUCAAAAUUUCAAAUCCGAAAUGCACUAGUCCUUUCUACACUGUUCCAUCGUCCAUGGUUCACGGUCUUCAGAAAGCAGCAUUGAUCGAAAAAAAAAUGUUUGCACGUCUUAGCGUCCCGAUCUGUUUUUCCAUGAUGAAUGAAGUUGAACUGUUUUCUUUUUCAGACCAACCCGAAAGCUCGAAGACGCAUCGUUGAAGGCUUGGAUCAGACGCUGAGUCCAGGCGUAAUUUAUAUUCAUCGGAAAGUUUGAUACUUAGAUACAGUUGAGGAGUUAAGGCGGAGUGAUUUUCUUUCCGCCACUUCCUUCGGAACGAGGACAGAUAAUAAUGGAGAAUAGAAAAAUAUACUAGAAUGGACGGACGAAUAGCUGUCGCGGUUAGAAAGCCACCGCCGGCUGCGCCGAUCGACCUUUUAUUCGUCAACAAUCGAUCUCCAUAAAAUAGCGUUACGCCGCAAAAUGAGCUCCAAUCCUAUACGGGUAGUUCGAAUGCGGCGAACCCCUUCAGCGCACCCGAAUCCCAUUCCUAAUAUUGCGCACUUCUUCAAUACCGGGUUGAAAAAUUCCUCUCCGUUUUGGCAAGAAUCAAAAACGCUUUAUGUGAUAUUUUCCUUUAAAUUGUUGAAGUUGGAAUCUGACAGAAGUCAACUGUUUCGUGACCGUCUCUUGAUAUAAUUUUUAAAAAACCAUUGUUCCUUAUUCCCUGUGUACAUUAUACGUAUUCCCUGAAACCCCUGCGCCGUUGGUUAAUUUAAUUUGCGCGGGCACAAAAGGCGCUACCCACAAUACAACGAGACCGGUUUCCUUCCAGCCACCUUGAACGAUACCUUGAAACCGUUUACUCGUUUUACAGAAGGAAAAGCGCCUCAGUUUUCUGACAUUUUUUCGCCCGUGCACGUACAGCUUUCACACAUAUAUUGGCAUCAUGAACGCCUUAUUCGAGAGAUCGAAUUCUGCAGUCCUGAUUCGUUAGAAUCGUCAAGGAUGGUGAAAAAAAAUCAGUAAUCUAAUUUCAUACCGCGGAAAUCAGCGCCGAUGCAUGCAAUGGCAAAUUUUCGGGGCAAACACAAUGCGCAGAGUAGCAAAUAGAAAAAAUCUCUCGGACAUCGGAGAGAGUGAAUUCAUGUACAUAUAUGGGGGAUAACGAGCGGCAGGUUGUCCUAGAAAUUGCGUCUAUUUAUUGAUCGCCCGUAUAUACAUAUUCACCUGUGCAUUACACUCGCCUAGAUACGUCGAGAUGUGACGACAUAUUCGUCCAGCUCUAAAAAUUUCGACUUGCCAACGAGCGCGUUUUAUGCAUAAAAUAUUUCGGAGGAAACGAGGAUGAAAAAAGUUAAUGAGUGGCUAAGCGGGAAAGUAUUAACUCAUAUAUCUGUUUUACUGGCAAAAAAUUCGGGCCGUUCGCGCUGCACUCGCCCGUGCUAUUAGCUCUUAAGUUAAGCCGGAAAUUCGAAUCCGGAUCUGCGCAGCCCCAGCUGCCGGGCGGCAAAGAGCCCUAAAGAAAUUUAUACCCUCUUUCAACCUCUUUGGAAAAAUACCUACGGCCAACCCUUCUCGCCGCUGCUGAACCUUAGCCCAACCCUCGAUCAACCCCUUAACCUCUUCACAGUCCCAGUGUAUCGGUGUACCGCUGAACUCUUUGGACUGCUCAGAUUCUUCCCAAUUUAUCGGCGAUCCUUCCCCGAAUGUACAAUCUAACGUGACUCCGUGUAUUUCAGUUUUCACGAUUACUUGACAAUAGCGUGAUAUAGCAGUUCUGUGAUGGAAUUGGUUUGUUGGUAGAGGAAGAAUGACACAUCAUCAUUUUUAUCUUGUAAUUUUUUAUUGAAAAAACAACAGAGUACAAUCAUCAUAUCACACAUCAUACAUAGUAUUAAAGUUCGAAACCAAAUCUUGGAUGACCGGAUGUUCAGAAAGUGACGUCACCCAAAAUUUUUUUUUUCCUGACGUCAUCGAUCUAUAGUAAUCGUCGACCACGAAAAUCAGCUAGCGGAAUUCCUCAGUCUGGAAACAACCGCGCAGUAGAGAGGACGGAUGAGAAUCGCAUUCCGCGGAUUUCGAGUACCAGGUUCUCUACCUCCUGGAUCCUGCGUUCCAGGUCCGCUACCUGGUGAAACUGGACUUCCGGGACAAGUGCUCCGUAGUUUCUGCGCUCCAGGUUCUCCACCCGGUGAAAUUCGACCUCCAGAACAAGCGCUGCGUGGUUCCUGCGCUCCAGGUCCUUCACCUGGUGAAUUUCGUCCUCUAGGACCAGCGCUCCGAAGUUCCUCAUAGUUGCUGCGCUGCCGGUGAUUUACCUAAUGAAUAGCGACUUCCAGGUCCUCUACCUGGUGAAUUUCGACCUCCAGGACCAGUGCUCCGUAGUUCUUGCUCAGUGCAGUGAGCAGUGAGAUCGUUUGAAAAUUCAUCAGAAUGUUACGGGGUGGACGAUUGUAAUCAAGACGAGCGGCUAUCGCAGAGAGGAACUUGUACUGAGGAGUUAAAUGUUUGAGUACAUAAUUGAUGUAUU